UUUCCCCUUAAGUUAUGCAAUUCACAUCACAAAAGCUCUCAACUUGAACAGCUGUUGAAUGCUUUUGGUUCGCUUAUUUUUUCCAGGAGAGAAAGGAAUAAUUGUCAGUAUAUAACUACUGUUGACAUUGUACCGUCAUCAAGCAUAUAAUACGUUAUUUACGUGAGUAAAUAAUGCUAACUUGCAUUAAGGUGGAAGCUUUAAGCUGCCACCUGGGUGUAAUGUUUUUUUCUUUGCACUGUGCGUGAUGGAGACGCGCACGCUGAUAUGAAAUGUCAAACAUGUUUGUUUACUUUACUCAGCUGUGGCCCAACUCAACGGCCAUGAAUGUGAUAGUUUUUUGUGUGGAAAAAAUGAAGUAAAAUCGCUAUAAUCGUUUGUUCUACUGCAUUGCGGCUUUGCACCACGCUCUAUUGGUUUAUUUAUUGCUGGGGGGCGUUAGAAUCUAUGAUAAAUCAACAACAUCGUUUAACACAAUACACGAUGGUUUCGCUUGCGCGCAUUGGCCAGUGUGGCGCAUUACUUCACGACGGUGCCGGCCUCACCGGCUGGAUCCAUUUCCAUGUAUACGAUAAUAGAUGUAUCUACACAUCAUCUCACUCUGGUUG